rnacentral:rRNA from 1 species
AAUAGCUCACUAGUCGAGUCGGCCUGCGCGGAAGAUGUAACGGGGCUCAAACUGGAUACCGAAGCUGCGGAUGUGCACUUAGUGCACGUGGUAGGGGAGCGUUGUGUAAGUCUGUGAAGGUGUGUUGAGAAGCAUGCUGGAGAUAUCACAAGUGCGAAUGCUGACGUGAGUAACGAUAAUGGGAGUGAAAAACUCCCACGCCGAAAGACCAAGGUUUCCUGCGCAACGCUAAUCGGCGCAGGGUGAGUCGGCCCCUAAGGCGAGGCAGAAAUGCGUAGCUGAUGGGAAACGGGUUAAUAUUCCCGUACUUCUUAUAACUGCGAUGGAGAGACGGAGAAGGCUAUGCCUACCGGGCGUUGGUUGUCCCGGGGAAAGGCUGUAGGCUGAGGUGUUAGGCAAAUCCGGCACCUUAAGGCUGAGAGUCGAGACCACUGGUCCUUUGUGACCGGGAAGUGGUUGAUGCCAUGCUUCCAGGAAAAUCUUCUAAGCUUCAGGUUAUAAGGAACCGUACCCCAAACCGACACAGGUGGUUGGGAUGAGUAUUCUAAGGCGCUUGAGAGAACUCGGGUGAAGGAACUAGGCAAAAUUGUACCGUAACUUCGGGAGAAGGUACGCCGCUGACGGUGAUGAGACUUGCUCUCUGAGCUAUCGGCGGUCGCAGUGAAAAGGCCCCUGCAACUGUUUAUUAAAAACACAGCACUCUGCAAACGCGUAAGCGGACGUAUAGGGUGUGACGCCUGCCCGGUGCCGGAAGGUUAAUUGAUGGGGUUAGCUUCGGCGAAGCUCUUGAUCGAAGCCCCGGUAAACGGCGGCCGUAACUAUAACGGUCCUAAGGUAGCGAAAUUCCUUGUCGGGUAAGUUCCGACCUGCACGAAUGGCGUAAUGAUGGGGGCGCUGUCUCCACCCGAGACUCAGUGAAAUCGAAAUCGCAGUGAAGAUGCUGUGUACCCGCGGCUAGACGGAAAGACCCCGUGAACCUUUACUAUAGCUUCACAGUGGACUUUGAACCUGUUUGUGUAGGAUAGCUGGGAGACUUUGAAGCAGUGACGCUAGUCAUUGUGGAGUCGUCCUUGAAAUACCAGCCUGGCAUGUUUGAGGUUCUAACCUAGGUCCAUUAUCUGGAUCGGGGACAUUGUGUGGUGGGUAGUUUGACUGGGGCGGUCUCCUCCCAAAGAGUAACGGAGGAGCACAAAGGUACCCUCAGCACGGUCGGACAUCGUGCAACGAGCGUAAAGGUAGAAGGGUGCUUGACUGCGAGACCUACAAGUCGAGCAGGUGCGAAAGCAGGUCUUAGUGAUCCGGUGGUUCUGUAUGGAAGGGCCAUCGCUCAACGGAUAAAAGGUACU